AAUGAAGGGGAUGAUGUCUUUUUAUGUGAAUACGAAUAUGAUAUUCACUGGUACAGUUUCAAGCGUAUUGCAGAAAUU